rnacentral:rRNA from 1 species
UACGUAGGGUGCGAGCGUUGUCCGGAAUUAUUGGGCGUAAAGAGCGUGUAGGCGGUCCGGUAAGUCCGCUGUGAAAGUCGAGGGCUCAACCCUCGAAUGCCGGUGGAUACUGUCGGGCUUGAGUACGGGAGAGGCGAGUGGAAUUCCUGGUGUAGCGGUGAAAUGCGCAGAUAUCAGGAAGAACACCCGUGGCGAAAGCGGCUCUCUGGGACGGUACUGACGCUGAGACGCGAAAGCGUGGGGAGCGAACAGG